AUACGGAGGGUGCAAGCGUUACUCGGAAUCACUGGGCGUAAAGCGCGCGCAGGCGGCUAUUUAAGUUGGAUGUGAAAGCCUACGGCUCAACCGUAGAACUGCAUCCAAAACUAUUUAGCUAGAGUGUGGGAGAGGAGGAUGGAAUUAGUUGUGUAGGGGUAAAAUCCGUAGAGAUAACUAGGAAUACCAAAAGCGAAGGCAAUCUUCUGGAACACUACUGACGCUGAGGCGCGAAAGCGUGGGGAGCAAACAGGAUUAGAUACCCUAGUAGUCC
rnacentral:rRNA from 1 species